GACGAACGCUGGCGGCGUGCCUAAUACAUGCAAGUCGAACGCUUUUUCUUUCACCGGAGCCUGCUCCACCGAAAGAAAAAGAGUGGCAAACGGGUGAGUAACACGUGGGUAACCUGCCCAUCAGAAGGGGAUAACACUUGGAAACAGGUGCUAAUACCGUAUAACACUAUUUUCCGCAUGGAAGAAAGUUGAAAGGCGCUUUUGCGUCACUGAUGGAUGGACCCGCGGUGCAUUAGCUAGUUGGUGAGGUAACGGCUCACCAAGGCAACGAUGCAUAGCCGACCUGAGAGGGUGAUCGGCCACACUGGGACUGAGACACGGCCCAGACUCCUACGGGAGGCAGCAGUAGGGAAUCUUCGGCAAUGGACGAAAGUCUGACCGAGCAACGCCGCGUGAGUGAAGAAGGUUUUCGGAUCGUAAAACUCUGUUGUUAGAGAAGAACAAGGAUGAGAGUAGAACGUUCAUCCCUUGACGGUAUCUAACCAGAAAGCCACGGCUAACUACGUGCCAGCCGCCGCGGUAA
rnacentral:rRNA from 1 species